rnacentral:rRNA from 1 species
CCCUUAGAUGUUCUGGGCUGCACGCGUGCUACACUGAUUAUUUCAACAAGUGUUUUAACUGGAGAGUUUGCGUAAUCCUGAAAUGCUAUCGUGAUGGGAGUAGAGUAUUGUAUUUGUUAAUCUUUAACGAGGAAUUCCUAGUAAGUGUAGGUUUAUAAGUUGUUCUGAUUACGUCCCUGCCCUUUGUACACACCGCCCGUCGCUCCUACCGAUUGAUUGAUCCGGUGAAUUACAUAGAAUUUUGCGUUUUACAUGACGGAAGAUGAAGUGUUUUAAACCCUAUCAUUUAGAGGAAGGAGAAGUCGUAACA